GAAUCUCACUCUGUUGCCCUGGCUGGAGUGCAGUGGUGUGAUCUCGGCUCACUGCAAACUCUGCCUCCCGGCUUCAAGCGAUUCUUGUGCCUCAGCCUCCUGAGUAGCUGGGACUAUAGAUGCAUGCCACCAUGCCCGGCUAAUUUUUGUAUUUUUAGCAGAGGCGGGGCUUUGCCAUGUUGCCCAGGCUGGUCUCGAACUCCUGCCCUCCUUGGCCUCCCAACGUGCUGGGAUUAUAGGUGUGAGCCCGGGAGGUAGAAAUUGCAGUGAGCUGAGAUGGUGCUACUGCACUCAGCCUGGGCAAUAGACCCAGAAAUUGUCUCAAAGGAAAAAACAAAAAGUUGAGGAUCAUGUAUAAUUUUAUGAAGCUAGUUUUACCCUGAUAACAAAACCACACAGAGUACAAAAAAGAAAGCUACGGAAACAAUAACUCUCAUGAAUAUACACACAAAAAUCCUCAACAAAAUAUUAGCAAAUAAUACCUACAAAAAUUUUAAAAAUUUUUGUUAAUGGGACAAAAUUAGCAAAUAUAAUCCAACAAUUUAUAAAAAUAAUUAUUCAUCAUGACCAAGUGGGGGUUUUUCCAGGGAUGCAAGGCUGGUUCAGUAUUUCAAAAUAAAUCAAUGGACUCUUCUAUAUUAAUGACUCGAAGAAAAAUCACAUGAUUAUAUCAAUAGGUGCUCACAAAACAUUUGCAAAAUUAAACAUCCAUUCAUGAUAUAAAUUCUCAGAAAAUUAGGAAUAGAAGAGGAACUUCCUCAAUUUGAUAAGGAGCAUGUACAAAAACCCUACCGCCAACGUUAUACACCUGGUCCUCCGUAUCUGUGGAUUCAACCAACAAGGGAUCAAAAAUACUUGGGGAAAAAAACCCCAAUAAGGAUGUUGUGUUUGUACUGAACACGUACAGCCUUUUUUUCCUUGUCAUUAUUUCCUACCUAGACUAUAUGGUAUGUCAACUAUUUACAUAGCGUUUACAUUGUAUUAUAAGUAAUCUAGAGAUAAUUUAAAGUAUGCAGGAAGAUAUGCCUAGGUUAUAUGCAAAUACUACACCAUUUUAUCUCAGGGACUUGAAGAUCCCAGGAUUUUGGUAUAUGUUGGGGAUCCUGGAGCCAAUCUCCCAUGGACAUCAAGGGACAAGUGUACUUAAUGGUGAAACGCUGGAUACUUUCUCCUAAAAUUGGGAACAAGGCAAGAAAGGCCUCAUCACUCUUUCACUCUUAUUCAUUAUAGCACUGGAACCUCUAGUCAGUGGAACAAGACCAAAAAAAAAAAAAAAAAA
rnacentral:lncRNA from 1 species